GAUGAAGAACGUAGCGAAAUGCGAUAAGUAGUGUGAAUUGCAGAAUUCAGUGAAUCAUCGAAUCUUUGAACGCACAUUGCGCCCCUUGGUAUUCCAUGGGGCAUGCCUGUUCGAGGGUCAUUUGUACCUUCAAGCUCUGCUUGGUGUUGGGUGUUUGUCUCGCCUCUGCGUGUAGACUCGCCUUAAAACAAUUGGCAGCCGGCGUAUUGAUUUCGGAGCGCAGUACAUCUCGCGCUUUGCACUCAUAACGACGACGUCCAAAAGUACAUUUUUACACUCUUGACCUCGGAUCAGGUAGGGAUACCCGCUGAACUUAAGCAUAUCAAUAAGCGGAGGA
rnacentral:misc_RNA from 1 species